rnacentral:rRNA from 1 species
GACGAACGCUGGCGGCGUGCUUAACACAUGCAAGUCGAACGCUCUCGACCUUCGGGUCACAUGAGAGAGUGGCGAACGGGUGAGUAACACGUGAGGAACCUACCCCAAAGUACGGGAAUAACUCAGGGAAACCUGAGCUAAUACCGGAUGCCCUCCAGAGAUCGAAUGGUCAUUGGAGGAAAGAUUUAUCGCUUUGGGACGGCCUCGCGGCCUAUCAGCUAGUUGGUGAGGUAAUGGCUCACCAAGGCAUCGACGGGUAGGCUGGUUUGUAGAGAACGAUCAGCCACACUGGGACGUGAGACACGGCCCAGACUCCUACGGGAGGCAGCAGUGGGGGAAUCUUGCACAAUGGGCGAAAGCCUGAUGCAGCGACGCCGCGUGGGGGAUGAAGGCCUUAGGGUCGUAAACCCCUUUCAGUAGGGACGAAAAUGACGGUACCUACAGAAGAAGCCCCGGCCAACUACGUGCCAGCAGCCGCGGUAAAG